rfam:Oryza sativa Japonica Group DNA, chromosome 3, cultivar: Nipponbare, complete sequence.
AAUAAGUGUAGCCAUGAGUUUUCACACCCAACUUUGAUCGUCCGUAUUAUUUGAAAUUUUUUUAUAAUUAGCAUUUUUAUUGUUAUGAGAUGAUAAAAUAUAAAUAGUACUUUACUCGUGACUUAUGUUUUUAAUUUUUUUUAAAAAAUUUUUAAAUAAGACGAAAGGUCAAAAUUAGGCACGAAAAACCAUAGCUAUACUUAUU